ensembl:lncRNA
AUGUGCUGGAAAAUUCCUUCAAGCCUCGGCCCACCUGCUGGUUACCUUCCCCUUCACGCAGCCUGCAGAGAGCAACCAGGCAGAAAUCUCCCUGAGUCACAUCAUCUCCUCCUCAGCCCUCCGGCUCAGUCGCUGUCCAAAACAAGCAGAAAAAAAGAGCUCAAGCAAAACGAGACACAGCUCGUUGGUUGUUUGAGGGUUUCCAGUAAAUCCGGCCGCUCUGUGUUCAGCUGUGGCCAUGGGCUGCUCUUCACUGCAGCAUCUGUUCCUGUCACAUACUGUAAUCUUCCAUGCAAUGCUGACCUUACCCCAUCCACACGAAACACUGGCCAGAGAGGAGCUGCAGUCUAGAGGGAAUCUGGUGGCCAGCGCAUGGAGAGUCAGUUCCAGAGCUCUCCUUCCCCUGAGGUCUCCUGGAAAACAUGGCAUCAGAAAUCUAUGUUAUUUCAGUUAAUUACAAUUUCAUGUUACAUACAAUACAGUUCAAAAGCCUGGGGUUAGUGUCAUUUUUUAUUUUUUAUUUUUGAAAGAAAUUAAUACUUUUAUUCAUCAAGGAUGCAUUAAAUUGAUUUAAAGUAACAGUAAGGACACUUAUAAUGUUACAAAAGAUUUUAUUUCAAAUAAAUGCUGUUCUUUUGAACUAUUUAUAAUAAUAAUAAUAAUAAUAAUAAAUCCUUUAAAAAUGUAUCAUGGUUUUCAUAAAAGCCAUGCAGUACUGCAUAUGAGAAUUUUCUCUCUUUUUUGGAACUUAAUGAAUGUAAAACAAAAU